rnacentral:tRNA from 1 species
GCCUGGGUGGCUCAGUUGGUAAGCGUCCGACUUCAGCUCAGGUCAUGAUCUCACGGUUUGUGAGUUCGAGUCCCACAUCAGGCU